rnacentral:rRNA from 1 species
CCCAGACUCCUACGGGAGGCAGCAGUGGGGAAUAUUGGGCAAUGGGCGCAAGCCUGACCCAGCAACGCCGCGUGAAGGAAGAAGGCCCUCGGGUUGUAAACUUCUUUUAUCAAGGACGAAACAAAUGACGGUACUUGAUGAAUAAGCCACAGCUAACUACGUGCCAGCAGCCGCGGUAAUACGGAGGGUGCAAGCGUUGUCCGGAAUCAUUGGGUGUAAAGAGUUCGUAGGUGGCAUAUUAAGUCUGGUGUUAAAUGCAGAAGCUCAACUUCUGUUCGGCACUGGAUACUGGUAAGCUUGAAUGCGGUAGAGGUAAAGGGAAUUCCCGGUGUAGCGGUGAAAUGCGUAGAUAUCAGGAGGAACAUCGGUGGCGUAAGCGCUUUACUGGGCCGUAAUUGACACUGAGGAACGAAAGCCGGGGUAGCAAAUGGGAUUAGAUACCCCCGUAU